rnacentral:lncRNA from 1 species
CUUUCCCUCCUAGACAAUUCUUAUGGCUUCUUAAAUAUUACACGUGGCCUCCAGAAUUAAACCAACUUGGUUUACAUUUGAAAAUGGGGGUUAGGGAGGGAAGGCCCCAUGAUAAAGUUUUUCAACUCAGUAAAAAAGUUUACAAUGUCAGUUGGAAUUUUUCAAAACAUUUGGGAAAUAUCCAACAGAAAGAUAGAGGCCAAGAAAAUCACUUCAAAAUAAAGAAAGACUUAUAGAGGUAAAAAUAAGUCAAAAUAAGAAAAAUGGAAGUGCUUUAGGCUCGCUGCAUGUUUGGGUGAAGAAUUCUGUGAAGUUUAGUGGCUCUUUUGAAUUUCAGAGGGAUGUUACUAUUUGGGUAUAUUGGGAAAACAUAGUUUCCUCUGUAGCUGGCACAUCUAUCUCCCCUCAACCCGUAAACCGUCAAAUCUGUCUUGACUGCUCCGAACUGCUGGAUUUGUCUAGUGCUGGUGGAAUCUCAAUCUGUCUUACGUAGACCUCAGAGGGGAAGCACUUGCAAGGUAAGGCUAAAUCGGAAAAGUGGACAAGGGGAUCAAGAAAGAGGAAAAAUAAAAAAUAGGGAGUUAGGAUCAAAGACAGAUUUUUGCCCCUCUCUUGUCCUUAAUCAGGGAACAGAAAGCAGAACUUCCCAGAGACAGAGCAAUUUCUGGAUUCUGGCACUUUUUCAAGCUGCAAGCAGUAUCGUGCUCUUUCCUUCGUUGCUGCCAGUGAUGUACCAUUUUCCCUUUACUUUUUUUUUUCUUCCAGCUGUUGUACUCUGCUUUCUCAAUUCAAUAUGCUGCAAUAAGAUCAUCAGAUGUCUCCAAAUUAUCCAGUUAAGUGGGCCAAUAAAAAAAGGCCAGUGCAGUCUCUAGCAAAAACAGUCCUUUAAUGAAAUCUCCAGAGGAAGAAGAGAGGUGAGUCAUCCAUUUUACUCAAUAAAGUACUCAAGCAACUUGUUGAUUUUAUAGUAAUCUUAUGAUUUUAGGUCAGCUAACUCUAUGACAUAUUUAAUCAUACAGCUUACAUUUUAUCAAUUAAAGCUAUGUUAUAAAUCAAUAAAUAUCUAAUUAACAUUUUAAUAAUCAAAAUAUGAUGCUGGAAUUUAGAGGCUACACAGACCUAGAAGAUUUGGUCAUUAUCCUCAAGGAGCACACCAUACAGUUGGAAAGACCACACACAUGUUCACAUACAACACAGGCAUACACAAAUAGUACGAUGAAAAGCCAGCAUAAAAUACCACUGUUGUAAAAGCUAGCAAGAAUUAUGGGAACUCAGAGGAGAAAGUAAGUGAUCAAUGUGAAACGAGACUUUGUAGAAAAAUGUGGCUGUCCUGUACCCUGAAAGGCAGGUAAUGAUAUCUAUUAAAGAGUUUAAUUUAAAGGUAUACUCUAGUAUCAGAAGAAAGGAGCCAAAUAAUCCUUAGUAUAUUUAGUAUAACUUGUAGUGCAUAUUAUAAGUUCUGUUUUAUUCAUAAUUUAAUUAUAUUUUGGAUUGCUAAAUGCCUUAAACUAAAUAUUUAUUUUUGUCUAAAAGUAUGCAAGGUUAUGGUAGGAAUUCUGGAAAAUACAAAAAGGAUAUAGAUAGAUAGAUAAACAGAUAGAGAUAGAUAGAUAGAUAGAUAGAUAGAUAGAUAGAUAGAUAGACAAAUAGAUAAAACCACAUCGUUCUGUGGUUAACUUGUUGAAUCUUCCACCACUUAGAAAUCGGAUGCAGCAUU